rnacentral:rRNA from 1 species
UACGAAGGGGGCUAGCGUUGCUCGGAAUCACUGGGCGUAAAGCGCACGUAGGCGGCUUUUUAAGUCAGGGGUGUAAUCCUGGAGCUCAACUCCAGAACUGCCUUUGAUACUGAGAAGCUCGAGUCCGGGAGAGGUGAGUGGAAUUCCGGGUGUAGUGGUGAAAUGCGUAGAGAUCCGGAGGAACACCAGUGGCGAAGGCGGGUCUCUGGGCCGUAACUGACGCUGAGGAGCGAAAGCGUGGGGAGCGAACAGG